rnacentral:rRNA from 1 species
GAUGAACGCUGGCGGCGUGCCUAAUACAUGCAAGUCGAGCGAACGGACGAGAAGCUUGCUUUUCUGAUGUUAGCGGCGGACGGGUGAGUAACACGUGGAUACCUACCUAUAAGACUGGGAUAACUUCGGGAAACCGGAGCUAAUACCGGAUAAUAUUUUGAACCGCAUGGUUCAAAAGUGAAAGACGGUCUUGCUGUCACUUAUAGAUGGAUCCGCGCUGCAUUAGCUAGUUGGUAAGGUAACGGCUUACCAAGGCAACGAUGCAUAGCCGACCUGAGAGGGUGAUCGGCCACACUGGAACUGAGACACGGUCCAGACUCCUACGGGAGGCAGCAGUAGGGAAUCUUCCGCAAUGGGCGAAAGCCUGACGGAGCAACGCCGCGUGAGUGAUGAAGGUCUUCGGAUCGUAAAACUCUGUUAUUAGGGAAGAACAUAUGUGUAAGUAACUGUGCACAUCUUGACGGUACCUAGUCAGAAAGCCACGGCUAACUACGUG